GUGGGGAAUAUUGGACAAUGGGCGAAAGCCUGAUCCAGCCAUGCCGCGUGUGUGAAGAAGGUCUUCGGAUUGUAAAGCACUUUAAGUUGGGAGGAAGGGCAGUAAGUUAAUACCUUGCUGUUUUGACGUUACCGACAGAAUAAGCACCGGCUAACUCUGUGCCAGCAGCCGCGGUAAUACAGAGGGUGCAAGCGUUAAUCGGAAUUACUGGGCGUAAAGCGCGCGUAGGUGGUUCGUUAAGUUGGAUGUGAAAGCCCCGGGCUCAACCUGGGAACUGCAUCCAAAACUGGCGAGCUAGAGUACGGUAGAGGGUGGUGGAAUUUCCUGUGUAGCGGUGAAAUGCGUAGAUAUAGGAAGGAACACCAGUGGCGAAGGCGACCACCUGGACUGAUACUGACACUGAGGUGCGAAAGCGUGGGGAGCAAACAGGAUUAGAAACCCGAGUAGUCC
rnacentral:rRNA from 1 species